CAGUCGCCACGGUAAUACGUAGGGUGCAAGCGUUAAUCGGAAUUACUGGGCGUAAAGCGUGCGCAGGCGGUUUGUUAAGGCAGAUGUGAAAUCCCCGGGCUCAACCUGGGAACUGCAUUUGUGACUGGCAAGCUAGAGUGUGGCAGAGGGGGGUGGAAUUCCGCGUGUAGCAGUGAAAUGCGUAGAUAUGCGGAGGAACACCGAUGGCGGAGGCAGCCCCCUGGGCCAACACUGACGCUCAUGCACGAAAGCGUGGGGAGCAAACAGGAUUAGAUACCCGUGUAGUCCCUGUCUCUUAUAA
rnacentral:rRNA from 1 species